rnacentral:rRNA from 1 species
CCUACGGGAGGCAGCAGUGGGGAAUAUUGCACAAUGGGGGAAACCCUGAUGCAGCGACGCCGCGUGAGUGAAGAAGUAAUUCGUUAUGUAAAGCUCUAUCAGCAGGGAAGAAAAUGACGGUACCUGAGUAAGAAGCCCCGGCUAAAUACGUGCCAGCAGCCGCGGGUACACGGAGGGGGCAAGCGUUAUCCGGAUUUACUGGGUGUAAAGGGAGCGUAGACGGGAGUGCAAGGCUGGAGUGAAAGGCGGGGGCUCAACCCCCGGACUGCUCUGGAAACUGUACGGCUGGAGUGCAGGAGAGGUACGUGGAAUGCCUGGUGUAGCGGUGAAAUGCGUAGAUAUUAGGAGGAACACCAGUGGCGAAGGCGGCUUACUGGACUGUAACUGACGUUGAGGCUCGAAAGCGUGGGGAGCGAACAGGAUUAGAUACCCCAGUAGUC